rnacentral:rRNA from 1 species
GGAAGACUGCCCUAUGGGUUGUAAACUGCUUUUAUCCGGGAAUAAACCUAAGUACGCGUACUUAGCUGAAUGUACCGGAAGAAUAAGGAUCGGCUAACUCCGUGCCAGCAGCCGCGGUAAUACGGAGGAUCCAAGCGUUAUCCGGAUUUAUUGGGUUUAAAGGGUGCGUAGGCGGCCUGUUAAGUCAGGGGUGAAAGACGGUAGCUCAACUAUCGCAGUGCCCUUGAUACUGAUGGGCUUGAAUGGACUAGAGGUAGGCGGAAUGAGACAAGUAGCGGUGAAAUGCAUAGAUAUGUCUCAGAACACCGAUUGCGAAGGCAGCUUUACUAUGGUCUUUAUUGACGCCUGAGGCACGAAAGCGUGGGGAUCAAACAGGAUUAGAUACCCUGGUAGUCCAAGGGCGAAUUC